UAGGGAAUCUUCCACAAUGGACGCAAGUCUGAUGGAGCAACGCCGCGUGAGUGAAGAAGGUUUUCGGACCGUAAAGCUCUGUUGUUGGUGAAGAAGGAUAGAGGUAGUAACUGGCCUUUAUUUGACGGUAAUCAACCAGAAAGUCACGGCUAACUACGUGCCAGCAGCCGCGGUAAUACGUAGGUGGCAAGCGUUGUCCGGAUUUAUUGGGCGUAAAGCGAGCGCAGGCGGAAGAAUAAGUCUGAUGUGAAAGCCCUCGGCUUAACCGAGGAAUUGCAUCGGAAACUGUUUUCUUGAGUGCAGAAGAGGAGAGUAGAACUCCAUGUGUAGCGGUGGAAUGCGUAGAUAUAUGGAAGAAUACCAGUGGCGAAGGCGGCUCUCUGGUCUGCAACUGACGCUGAGGCUCGAAAGCAUGGGUAGCGAACAGGAUUAGAUACCCUGGUAGUCCAUACCGUAAACGAUGAGUGCUAAGUGUUGGGAGGCUUCCGCCUCUCAGUGCUGCAGCUAACGCAUUAAGCACUCCGCCUGGGGAGUACGACCGCAAGGUUGAAAC
rnacentral:rRNA from 1 species